GAUGAAGAACGUAGCGAAAUGCGAUAACUAAUGUGAAUUGCAGUAUUCCGUGAAUCAUCGAGUCUUUGAACGCACAUUGCGCCCCCUGGUAUUCCGGGGGGCAUGCCUGUCCGAGCGUCAUUGCUGCCCAUCAAGCACGGCUUGUGUGUUGGGUCCUCGUCCCCCCCGGGGGACGUGCCCGAAAGGCAGCGGCGGCACCGCGUCCGGUCCUCGAGCGUAUGGGGCUUUGUCACCCGCUCUGCAGGCCCGGCCGGCGCUGGCCGACGCGAAAGCAACCAUUUUUUCUCCAGGUUGACCUCGGAUCAGGUAGGGAUACCCGCUGAACUUAAGCAUAUCAAUAAGCGGAGGA
rnacentral:misc_RNA from 1 species